rnacentral:rRNA from 1 species
CGGGUGAGUAAUGUCUGGGAAACUGCCUGAUGGAGGGGGAUAACUACUGGAAACGGUAGCUAAUACCGCAUAAUGUCGCAAGACCAAAGUGGGGGACCUUCGGGCCUCAUGCCAUCAGAUGUGCCCAGAUGGGAUUAGCUAGUAGGUGGGGUAAUGGCUCACCUAGGCGACGAUCCCUAGCUGGUCUGAGAGGAUGACCAGCCACACUGGAACUGAGACACGGUCCAGACUCCUACGGGAGGCAGCAGUGGGGAAUAUUGCACAAUGGGCGCAAGCCUGAUGCAGCCAUGCCGCGUGUGUGAAGAAGGCCUUCGGGUUGUAAAGCACUUUCAGCGGGGAGGAAGGCGAUAAGGUUAAUAACCUUGUCGAUUGACGUUACCCGCAGAAGAAGCACCGGCUAACUCCGUGCCAGCAGCCGCGGUAAUACGGAGGGUGCAAGCGUUAAUCGGAAUUACUGGGCGUAAAGCGCACGCAGGCGGUCUGUCAAGUCGGAUGUGAAAUCCCCGGGCUCAACCUAGGAACUGCAUUCGAAACUGGCAGGCUAGAGUCUUGUAGAGGGGGGUAGAAUUCCAGGUGUAGCGGUGAAAUGCGUAGAGAUCUGGAGGAAUACCGGUGGCGAAGGCGGCCCCCUGGACAAAGACUGACGCUCAGGUGCGAAAGCGUGGGGAGCA